rnacentral:SRP_RNA from 1 species
GCUGGGCAUGGUGGCGUGUGCCUGUAAUUCCAGCUACUUGGGAGGCUGAGGCAGGAGAAUUGCUUGAAUCUGGGAGGUGGAGGUUGCAGUGAGCCAAGAUUGCACCACUGCACUCCAGCCUGGUGAUAGAGCGAGACUCUGUCUCAAAAAAUAUAUAUAUAAACUUAAAAAAAUAUUUUUUUUUGAGACAGAGUCUCGCUCCAUUGUCAGGCUCCCGGCUGCAGUACAGUGGCCCAAUCUUGGCUCACUGCAACCUCCGCCUCCUGGGUUCAAGCAAUUCUCCUGCCUCAG